CCUACGGGUGGCAGCAGUGAGGAAUAUUGGUCAAUGGGCGUAAGCCUGAACCAGCCAAGUCGCGUGAGGGAUGAAGGUUCUAUGGAUCGUAAACCUCUUUUAUAAGGGAAUAAAGUGCUGGACGUGUCGCGUUUUGUAUGUAACUUAUGAAUAAGGAUCGGCUAACUCCGUGCCAGCAGCCGCGGUAAUACGGAGGAUCCGAGCGUUAUACGGAUUUAUUGGGUUUAAAGGGUGCGUAGGCGGAAUUUUAAGGCAGCGGUGAAAGUCUGUGGCGCAACCCCGGCGUUGCCGUUGAAAUUAGGUUAGUGAGUGGGCGAGAAGUAGGCGGAAUGAGUGGUGGAGCGGUGAGAUGCACAGAUGUCA
rnacentral:rRNA from 1 species